rnacentral:lncRNA from 1 species
CUCCACAGGUGAUUCCAAGCAUACCACAGUGGAGAACAGGUGCAUCCAGGCCACACCAUAUAAGUGCGUGUUGUAGUAAGUGGGAGUGGGGCAGGAAUUCGUGGCUCUACCUGGGGCUCAGCCACAUCUAUCUGCCCUUGAGAGGCAAACAAGCCCACAGCAGUGGGCAGCCCUCAGCAGCAUGACAAGAUCCCCAGACAAGGAAGUGGUAGCCUCCUACUGUGUUUACUCAGAGCAUUACCCAGACAGGCCCAGCCUAACAAUAGGGCCCCUGGUCCUUCCAACAACACCCAAGCUGCUGCAUGAGACUUCGGAUGGGGCCUCUGUGCUGUGAUGAAACUCGGCAUCCCAACGGCCUCUGGGCCAGGCUCCAGUUCUGCAUCCUGCCAAAAGCAGGAGUGACUGGCAGAUGCUGGGGUAGGGAGGGCAGGUACCACACACAGAGUUCAGCCAGAAAUGCACAGCCCCAUCUAGAUGCUCAGAUGUGUGAGGCUCACAUGCCAUCCCAUCAGUGUGUAUUGGAGCCCUUUAUACCCAG